rnacentral:lncRNA from 1 species
CAGUUCCCCCUUCACUCAACGUUGGAGACCGUUACGGCCAGCAGAUGUCCACCUGCUUAGAAGACUCAAGUCCAAGUUUUCCCUUCAUCGCCCUGGAUGAGCUUCUGUUUCUCAAAAGAAAAAUAAGGGUAGGGGCAGGGCCAGCUGCAUAAUUCGUGGGACCCAGUAUGAAAUACAAAUGUAGGGGCCUUUGUUCGAAAAGCAGGAAAAAAGUGCUGUAAGAGCACUAAAAUUUAAUGCUCUUUUCCCUUGAGUCUCUCUCUCCUCUUCUCAUGAUGUGUCUUAUUUGCUGUUUAAUGUCAUGCUAAAUAUAAAUAAAAACUUUUAAUUCUUAGCAUGAAUUUUACCAUCCAUCUUUAUAAUGCACAAUGCUAGUUUUAAAUGCAAAUAUACGAGCAUUUAAUUUAUCUGCAUAUCAUCACAAUUGCAGUUUGUAUUUUAUAGGUUGCGUAUGCAUGUGUAUUUAGUUCUUACCAGAACACACUGGACACGUUGAACAAAGUGAGCUCAGCUGCUUUUAUCUGACUUCUUAGAUGUGAACAUUCUACCAGCAUCUCUGACUUGAGCUUGUUGAUGAGUAAGGAAGGACUGGAAGGAAAAGGAACUAUGGGCUGCUCUAUCCUUCCCUUCUGCUCUGCAUCAUCUUUUUGAGCAUAGGUGGUGGCCAUAUACAGGGAGGCAAGGCAAGUAAGAAAUGAAAGGGUAGGUUCCUUGGACAUUAGUGAAUCAUAGAACCCCAUUGCUUUCUUUCUCCAUGUGAGCAAGUUCUGGUUCCAAUAGCAUGACCUCUUGGUGCUACCUCUGCCCCCUCCCCGCCUUCUCAUAGACUCACCAUUGACUUGCUUUGUGUCUCACUGGGCUCCCACUGGAAUUCUGUGCUCUGGGGGUCCUGCCAACCCUGUGGAGCAGAAAGGAAUGGUGAACACAUGUAUGGCACUGGCAUAUCUCCUCUACUCAAGCAUCCUCCAUUGUCCCAUAGACUUUACUUACAAAACACAAGUUUAAAGAUAAAAUUAUUAAGAAUUUCAAUGACAAAUGCUGUCCAUUUCAAUGACAGCAGAGGAUUGAACCAAGCAUGCAGCCCUUCUGAGCACAGGGACAUGUGAGACGACACAAGUUGCACACCCAUGAAGCCAACCUAGGCAGGAGGAGGUGAGAAGUAACCCAGAUCCCAAACUGAGAACACUGUUGCUCACUUUUUCUCAUCAAGCAAAUAACCCAUCUGCAGCAGAAAAGCUUCAGCAGCCUCCAUUUUUCACCCAUUGGGGUUUUCUUCUCCAUUAACCAAGUCUCACUUUGUGAAAAGUCCACCACUUCCUGGUGAUGGUGUCACAACUUUGAAGAGAGAAUUCAUCUCCUGAUCUCUUCUGGGUCUGCAGAAGCCUUGGGUAGGAGCCCAGACCUUGGAAAUGAAGCAUCUGUCUAAUGCCCACCCACCACUUUUAGGCUUGGCUCCAUCAAGCAGAUCUUCUGCCUGAUAUGUACAUAGGUUUUACUAUCUACAGUCAAAUGCAAAAAAAAAUACUUAGCUUGCUUCAUGAGUAAUUUUGCUAAUUGUUUAGUACUUAAUUAUUAUUUAUCUCACCAGUACUCUGAAUUCUGCCCAGGGAUCUCUCCGUCUAGGAUGACAGGUUCUCAACAAUGCCUUUGGUAAAAAAUUCAGUUGAUGUUAAUAUGGAAGAAUUAGGGUUUGAGUCUCAAAAGGUCAAGAAGAAGACAGUCAUAUUCCUGAUAGACCUCAGAAGAAAGGAACAUUUUUCCUUCCAUCAUCAACUGCCUCCCUGCUCCUUAUGCUCAAAGGAGCAAAGCUAGAGGGCACCUCAGAUAUUUAAAGUGGACUAGAAUGGAAAUAGAAUGGCAUUAAAAAUGCAUCCAACAUAGAGAGCAAAGACACUAUUGACCUUCCAUCAUUGGUUCAGGGACUUUGAGAUUUGAGUUUUUCAACCUUAAUCUGGUUUUUCUUUCUUUCUGGUCCUUCAGAUGACAACAACACCCUUUUGUGAAAUACUGAGCUUGUACUUAGCUACUGAGACUACCUAGAGAAAAGAGGAAAAGGAAUUACUCUUAUUUACUUUUUUAUAUAAACUUUACUAGAUUUGGGGACUACUGCAGUGAUAGCUCAAGUUGGUGGACUAGAAGAACCAAGCCAUGAAGAAUUAUUUACUCUUUGGGAAUGAGCUUAGCACAGUGCUUAAUCCACACUGGAUGCUUAAUAAAUGCAAGCUGAUUCUGCAUAUGUCUCAUUAUUGUGGCAAUCUGUUAUAGUGAAAGACUCAUGGGUUUGGCAUCCAGCUACAUAGAUUCAAGAAACCAAGUGAAUGUGUGAUCUUGAGCACAUUUAGCUUCAUUGUGACCUGCUUACCUCACCUAAAAAGUGGGAGUAUUCCCAUUAUAAUGCCUCCCCCAUGGAGAAUGAAAUGAGAAAUGAGAUGGCUUAUCCAAAAGCACUCUGUUCUGCAUACACAAUACAUGUGUCUGCACAUAUGUGUGUGCAUAGAGGAAGAUGUUAGAUUUUAAAAACAAAAACAAAAACCCUGCCUUCCUCUCUCCAGUUUCACUUGACUGUAGAGGGAGAUACAGGUCUCUGAUAGGCUAGACUCUCACAAGAUCAUGAGUAUAAUGGUGAAUAGUUCAGGCUUUGCAGCUGAACAGACAUGGGUUCAAAUCUUGGCUCCUGUAUUUGGUUGGUUCGGUGGUUUUUGACAGGUUAUUUAAAUUCUCUAAGUCAUGGUUUCUUGACACCAAGAGAAAUGAGUGUAGUAAUAGUACCUACUUCAAAGAGUUACUAUGAUUUAUUGAGUAAUUUGCAAAGGGCUUGGCACAGCAUCAUCCCAAGUAUCUGAUAUAUUACUAUUAUUUUUAUUGUUAUCUUUAUUAUUAUACCUCUGGCCACCGAUGGGCCCAAGGAAGCAUCAGAAAAGUGGCUUGGAAACCUCUUUUCAUGGCAUGUUAUGGGCCGGCAUUUCCACUUACACCUUUCUUUCCUGGGUAGAUUCUUCCUUUUCUGAAGCUAGCAGAGUUGUUCGUAGAUCUUUUCACACACACGGGUGCUCCUCUUGGGAGAUGCUGGGUAAAAUCUACCUUCCCCCUCCUUACCCUCCUGAAAGUCAAAGGAACUAUUUUCAUUGACCCUGCCCAAUAAGGAACAGGCCUGGGAAACUUUCCAGGACCCUUCCCCUUCAGCUCAGACCCCACAAACCUUUUUCUUCCAGCAGCUCCCUGUCCUGAAAGUGGAGGCCCCCAAGAGAGGAGAAAGUGGCCUAGUCAGUACUGAGCACAGGUCUGCACCUCAAGACCAUGGGUGAAAGAAGGUCAUCUGUGUUUGACCCACUGGAGCCCAAAGGGCAAGACUUGAGCCUCCUCCUCUCCACUGGGGCACACGUUCCAGGUUCUCCUUGGACAUUGUGAGAGUCCCUCAGUGAUUCCUGGGGGCAAGUAUGACUGUCUCCUCCUCCUCCAGGUCUUGAUUUUCAAGGACCUAUUCUCUAGUGGAGAAGAGACGAAAGCAAUUAUUUACUUGAUCCCCACAGCCUCACUGAAAUCAUGGAGGGUCCACUAGCUAGCAGGCCGUGUACUAGGCGCUGUGCAUUCAGAGAUGACCAAGACCUGGAUCCUGUCUGCCACCACGGCGCUCGUGGUCUAAAACAUGAAUGUGGCCUUUAGCAGCCCACAUUUUCUUUUGGUAAGACCUAGUCCUACCCUGAGUCCUUAUGAACUUAUAUAAAGCCAUUGCCUGACCAAUAAGCCACCACCGGCUUCCUUUCCCUGUUCCAAACUCACGUGUCUUGGUUCCCGUUGUGGCGCAGUGGUUAACGAAUCCGACUAGGAACCAUGAGGUUGCGGGUUCGGUCCCUGCCCUUGCUCAGUGGGUUAACGAUCCGGCGCUGCCGUGAGCUGUGGUGUAGGUUGCAGACACGGCUCGGAUCCCGUGUUGCUGUGGCUCUGGCGUAGGCCGGUGGCUACAGCUCCGAUUCAACCCCUAGCCUGGGAACCUCCAUAUGCCGCGGGAGCGGCCCAAGAAAUAGCAACAACAACAACAACAAAAG